ACUUUCUCAAAGAUGCAUUGUCUCACCUGAAGAUUUUGGGGCAUGCUCAACCUCAAAGCAGACUGACAGGCACUCCAUGUCUUCUGCAUUCAGCCUUCUACUGAAGCACUUCUGGAGGCUGUAACUGAAGUGGAAAUGAAAGGAUCACUCAAAACAAUCAAGAGAUGCAGUAUUAAGGCAUGUGUCUGAACUAACUUCUGCACUACAGUGAAAGGACCCUUUAUGUCAAGGCAACAGAGGUGCUAUGAUUGCCAAAUAAACUUACUAUGCACCCAGAGAGAUAUGGCCAAGAGCCUGACUCUGCUUGUAUGGUCAGCACUGCAAAGCCACAGUAACUCCACUGCCACUGGAGUGGUACCUGUGACAAAUGAGCCUUAGCGUGAUGAGAAUCAGGCACUGAAUCCAGAAUGAAGGUGGUACUUCCAAGUGAGGGCCACUAACCUACCGAAAAGCCUGGAUGAAGCAUUUGGAAGCUAUCUUUGCUAUUGCCAGGCUGUGAAUUCACCAGUUUUGGGUUGAGCCAUGCUGUAGAAGCCUUACAGAGAGCUCUUCCCAGGACUGAACAAACAACAUACUUGAGCUGACCUUCAGGCAUCCAGGUGAACACAGAGUCAGUUCUGCACUUCAGGAGCUAGCAUGAAGCCCAAGAGGAAAUGUUCAUCACUCAGUGGGAAUACAAGAAAGAGAGCAUUUCAAAGGUGUUUUAUUAUCAAAGGGACACUUUCUGAGCUCCGGAUGAUAGGAUCAGGAGCUGCACAAGGGAAGCAAAUGAACUGUAAGCCAAACUCUAUUUUGUAAAAUAGUGUACUUAAAGCAUUUAUUGCCAUAUACCAGUUAUCACUAGUGUGAUUAAAUGCAUACGAUGCUAUGUAGCUUUCUUUUGUUUCUCAGCAGCUAGACUAAGCUUACGUCUCUUCUACCUGCUAUGAUUGGUGUACUUGUACUGUGUCCAAACAACUCAGAGGAAAGCAAAUAUUUAUUAUUGAUUCCUUUGAAUCAAUUAUUUCUUUUAUUUUCUUUUUGUUCAGUUGGUUGUUUUAUAAAUAAAUGUGCUGCAGCUUAAGUGCUACAGCUCAACUAAACCUG